rnacentral:rRNA from 1 species
AUUGAACGCUGGCGGAAUGCUUCACACAUGCAAGUCGAACGGCAGCACGGACUUCGGUCUGGUGGCGAGUGGCGAACGGGUGAGUAAUGUAUCGGAAUGUGCCCAGUCGUGGGGGAUAACGUAGUGAAAAUUACGCUAAUACCGCAUACGAUCUAUGGAUGAAAGCGGGGGAUCGCAAGACCUCGCGCGAUUGGAGCGGCCGAUAUCAGAUUAGGUAGUUGGUGGGGUAAAGGCCCACCAAGCCAACGAUCUGUAGCUGGUCUGAGAGGACGACCAGCCACACUGGAACUGAGACACGGUCCAGACUCCUACGGGAGGCAGCAGUGGGGAAUUUUGGACAAUGGGCGAAAGCCUGAUCCAGCCAUUCCGCGUGCAGGAUGAAGGCCCUCGGGUUGUAAACUGCUUUUGUACAGAACGAAAAGGUUUCUACUAAUACCAGGAGCUCAUGGCGGUACUGUAAGAAUAAGCACCGGCUAACUACGUGCCAGCAGCCGCCGUAA